ACAGGUGACAGGCUGCUUUCGUGACU
rnacentral:piRNA from 1 species